rnacentral:rRNA from 1 species
GAUGAACGCUGGCGGCGUGCCUAAUACAUGCAAGUCGAGCGAACAGACCAGGAGCUUGCUCCUCUGACGUUAGCGGCGGACGGGUGAGUAACACGUGGAUAACCUACCUAUAAGACUGGGAUAACUUCGGGAAACCGGAGCUAAUACCGGAUAAUAUAUUAAACCGCAUGGUUCAAUAGUGAAAGACGGUUUUGCUUUCACUUAUAGAUGGAUCCGCGCCGCAUUAGCUAGUUGGUAAGGUAACGGCUUACCAAGGCGACGAUGCGUAGCCGACCUGAGAGGGUGAUCGGCCACACUGGAACUGAGACACGGUCCAGACUCCUACGGGAGGCAGCAGUAGGGAAUCUUCCGCAAUGGGCGAAAGCCUGACGGAGCAACGCCGCGUGAGUGAUGAAGGUCUUCGGAUCGUAAAACUCUGUUAUUAGGGAAGAACAAAUGUGUAAGUAACUAUGCACGUCUUGACGGUACCUAAUCAGAAAGCCACGGCUAACUACGUG